rnacentral:rRNA from 1 species
AUUGAACGCUGGCGGAAUGCUUUACACAUGCAAGUCGAGCGACGAACCAGGGCUUGCCCUGGGGCCAAGCCGCGAACGGGUGAGUAACACGUGGGUAACCUGCCCAGAUGACCGGGACAACCCGGGGAAACCCGGGCUAAUACCGGAUGAGCUCUCCGCCCUAUGGGGCGGCGAGGAAAGGUAGCUUCGGCCUCCGCAUCGGGAUGGGCCCGCGGCCCAUUAGCUUGUUGGUGUGGUAACGGCUCACCAAGGCGACGAUGGGUAGCUGGUCUGAGAGGACGAUCAGCCACACUGGGACUGAGACACGGCCCAGACUCCUACGGGAGGCAGCAGUGGGGAAUCUUGCGCAAUGCGCGAAAGCGUGACGCAGCAACGCCGCGUGGGGGAAGAAGGCCUUCGGGUUGUAAACCCCUUUCAGUUGGGACGAAGCCUUCCCUGGUUAGGAGCUAGGGGGGUGACGGUACCUUCAGAAGAAGCCCCGGCUAACUACGUGCCAGCCGCCGCCGUAAAAC